rnacentral:lncRNA from 1 species
AGAGCCUCCGGGGGGCGGAGCCCUGGCGGCACCCCCUCUUUCGCCCUGCCCUCCUUCUCCUUCCACCCACCCACCCCGACACCCCUUGUCCCUCCCCCAACCACUCUGAACGGAUAGACAGGGGGAGAUUCAUCUUCGUCGUCGCACCCAGCUGCUGCUACUGCCAGUGCCACGUGCCUUGCAAGGGCAAGGCGAUAUGGAAGCACAGGUUCCAUCCCUGGACUAGUGCAGUGGAUUAAGAAACUGGCAUUGGCACAACUAUGGGUGAAAGUAAAGUGCUACCUUCAGGGAGCACACCUCCCAAGAGAUGCGUGAAAUCAAUGAGAACUCCAAUGUCUAUUUGUCAGUAAAGAUGUGUGAAGUUCGAUGGCUCUUUUGGGACUGGACCACUAGUUAAAGAUUCUAAAGCCAAAUUAAGUGGCACAUAGAUGCUAAAACUCUCAAGAGACCUUUGAAGAAUGAAAUGUGAAAACGGAGACAAACUUAGAGAAUGGCUGCUGGCAUAGACCUGAGCUUCCCAAAGAAGAUGGAAAUGGAACAUCACACAAAUGAAAAAGACAGAAGAGAACAUUAACACUCUGUUGCCAAAAAGAAUAAGAAAAAAAGAUCGAAGAAGGACCUUUAAAAAUAUGUAAACAAAUAAAUGAAUGCAAUUUGAAAAGAAAUAUCCUUUUGAUAUUUUAAAAUACCGCUCUUUCAUAGCUACUGCCUGAUUGUCAAUCCUUUGAUGAGUACUCAUUUCAAAAUUAUUAUUAUUAUUAUUUGAAAGGUAAAUAUUUAAAUGUGAAUGUAAAUUAGGAAAAAUAUUUUCAAAUUACCAUAUUAAAUUUUAUUAAAUGCUU